GGGUGCUCACUUGAACAACUCAUAUACUAAAAUUGGUACUAUGAAAAGAUUAGCAUAGUCCCUUUACAAGGUUAGAAUUACAAUCUGUGAAUCAUUCCAUAAUUUU